UACGUAGGGUGCGAGCGUUGUCCGGAAUUAUUGGGCGUAAAGGGCUCGUAGGCGGUCUGUCGCGUCGGGAGUGAAAACUCAGGGCUUAACCCUGAGCCUGCUUCCGAUACGGGCAGACUAGAGGUAUGCAGGGGAGAACGGAAUUCCUGGUGUAGCGGUGGAAUGCGCGGAUAUCAGGAGGAACACCGGUGGCGAAGGCGGUUCUCUGGGCAUUACCUGACGCUGAGGAGCGAAAGUGUGGGGAGCGAACAGG
rnacentral:rRNA from 1 species